GUGCUGCCUCACGCACGCUAUGACUGUACCGCACACACCUUCACACCAACAGACAGUGAUGUAGGAGGACCAAUAGAAUCCAACCAGCUCUUCUGUCACCAGUGCUUCUGUUACGUCUGUGACAAGGUCGCCUCGGAGUGUUCUGUGUGGACUGUGUCAGGAGUGUGCCACUGCAACGCCCAUAAGAGGAGUGUGUUCUGGAGCAACAAGAGAGACAAGGUGGUUCUGGGAUACCUUCAGGUCAGUUUAACCUUCAGGUCAGUUUAA